AACGAACGCUGGCGGCAUGCCUAACACAUGCGAGUCGAACGAGACCUUCGGGUCUAGUGGCGCACGGGUGCGUAACGCGUGGGAACCUGCCCUUAGGUUCGGAAUAACUCCCCGAAAGGGGUGCUAAUACCGGAUAAUGUCUUCGGACCAAAGAUUUAUCGCCUUUGGAUGGGCCCGCGUUGGAUUAGCUAGUUGGUAGGGUAAAAGCCUACCAAGGCGACGAUCCAUAGCUGGUCUGAGAGGAUGAUCAGCCGCACUGGGACUGAGACACGGCCCAGACUCCUACGGGAGGCAGCAGUGGGGAAUAUUGGACAAUGGGCGAAAGCCUGAUCCAGCAAUGCCGCGUGAGUGAUGAAGGCCUUAGGGUUGUAAAGCUCUUUUACCCGGGAUGAUAAUGACAGUACCGGGAGAAUAAGCUCCGGCUAACUCCGUG
rnacentral:rRNA from 1 species